rnacentral:ncRNA from 1 species
UCAUACGCGGGAGGCUCUGACACGCGGCCCUCACCCCGGCCGCCCGGACCGCGCCGAGCCACUGGCGAGACCGACCCCCCUGUAG